rnacentral:misc_RNA from 1 species
AGCCGGUGGCGUAACCCUUUUAGGGAGCGAGCCGUCUAAGGUGGGACAAAUGAUUAGGGUGAAGUCGUAACAAGGUAGCCGUAGGAGAACCUGCGGCUGGAUCACCUCCUUUCUAAGGAAACAGACUGAAAGUCUGACGGAAACCUGCACACACGAAACUUUGUUUAGUUUUGAGGGGAUCACCCUCAAGCACCCUAACGGGUGCGACUUUGUUCUUUGAAAACUGGAUAUCAUUGUAUUAAUUGUUUUAAAUUGCCGAGAACACAGCGUAUUUGUAUGAGUUUCUGAAAAAGAAAUUCGCAUCGCAUAACCGCUGACGCAAGUCAGUACAGGUUAAGUUACAAAGGGCGCACGGUGGAUGCCUUGGCACUAGGAGCCGAUGAAGGACGGAACUAAUACCGAUAUGCUUCGGGGAGCUAUAAGUAAGCUUUGAUCCGGAGAUUUCCGAAUGGGGAAACCC